CCUACGGGAUGCUGCAGUGAGGAAUAUUGGUCAAUGGGCGCGAGCCUGAACCAGCCAAGUAGCGUGAAGGAUGACUGCCCUACGGGUUGUAAACUUCUUUUAUCAAGGAAUAAAGUGAGGCACGUGUGCCUUUUUGUAUGUACUUUAUGAAUAAGGAUCGGCUAACUCCGUGCCAGCAGCCGCGGUAAUACGGAGGAUCCGAGCGUUAUGCGGAUUUAUUGGGUUUAAAGGGGGCGUAGAUGGGUUGUUAAGGUCAUUGUGAAAGUUUGCGGCUCAACCGUAAAAUUGCAAUUGAUACUGGCAGCCUUGAGUACAGUUGAGGUAGGCGGAAUGCGUGGUGUAGCGGUGAAAUGCUUAGAUAUCACGAAGAACUCCGAUUGCGAAGGCAGCUUACUAAACUGCCACUGACAUUGAUGCUCGAAAGUGUGGGUAUCAAACAGGAUUAGAUACCCUGGUAGUC
rnacentral:rRNA from 1 species